UCUGGUCAGGUCAGGCUUUAGGGCGAUUCAGCCAAUUCCCCGAAAUUGGGCCCCGCGCCCCUAAGAGGGCCCCGCAACGUCCCGAAGGAGCUGC